AGGAAAUACUAUUUAUAUUUUUUUAGUGAGCGAACUGUUUUUGGAUUUUUCGUUUAAUCGUGACCAGAGUUUGGAGCGCGAGUAAGCAACCCCGUUGGUUUAUUAUCAUCAGCGAAGGAUAAUAAAGGAAAGGAAGGAAAGCGCGAGAGGAUCGAGAUAACCGGUAGGACGUCGUGCACCCAGCAUAUACAUAUAUAUAUAUAUAUAGCAGUAUUCUGAAAAGCUGAAACUCCGUAACGGGUGACGGGGAAAGGGAGAAAGAGAAAAGGGAGGAAGGGAAACCUAGAGUUUUCCUCCACCCACAGUGGCACCUUCAACUCACCCUCCGAACAACGACGACGUCGAGCGAUUUUCCUUCUCUUGCUUGGCACACACCAGUCACCAGGAGGAGGGAAAAGGAGGAACAGGAGGAAAUAGGGGGUAGUGAGAAGGAGAGUCGCCUUCAUUAGCAAACUUUCGUUUAAAAUUUUCCGAGAAAAACAACAAAGGAGGAAAUGUCAAUGGACCCAAGUAAGCAGACUAGAGCUCACAGGAAGGAGUUUGACAGCCGUACAUGUAAGAAUAAGUAACCAUGGGACGGUGAAAUGCGAUAUAUGUUUUCAUAGCCAGGCGAAUGGGAAUGAGAAGGAGUGGAAGAGGGAGAGAAUAUUGGAGACGCGAUGUUGCCGGAUCAAUUUCGGUGGACCGCAGACACAAACUGUUUCACAGUGGACUCAAUCGAGCGCGUCUAUUGUAGUUUCUCGCUUUCUGCAAGCUCCAUUGAUCAGCUCUCCCCAACGAUGACUACAAACCAUUCCUUCAUUUUCCUGUCCUUACUCUUCUUCCUUUUACUCCUUCUUCCUUCAACUGCAAUUCUUCCAUUUCUCCGUAUAAUAAACCGUCUCUUUUCGUUUUGCUCCUCCAUUCGUCUCCGGUUCCAAGUCCUUGUCUCCAAAAUUCACUACCACCAUUGCCAGUAUGCAAAAACCAGGAUCCCAACUCCCACCUCUCCCAUCUCCCAACUACCAGACCAACUACCACCCAAACCAACACUUGUCUCAUAACUCCAAUUUCAAGUCGACUUAAAUUUCACAUUUAAAUUACCAACGACGCCACGUUGCCGGAUAAAGAUUUCAGUUCAUGAAAGAAGACACUAUUUAAUAUUAUCAUGAAUUAUAAAUAAAAACGCACCUUUUUUUUUUUUCUUACAAGCUCGUUCAUUUUAGCGUUAAUUUUAUUUGUGGCUAAGAGGGUUUUAAUAAAAAGAUACAUUACCAGUGAGGAAAAUCGCCGAGUUGGAAAGGGAGUGUGUAUAGUGAGGCAUAGUGCGCUUGGGUAAUCAAGCAUCUGUUUUAUUUCGAGCAUAUCAGGGCAAACGUGUGUUUUAGUCACACACACACACACACAGAUUUAAAUCUCCUAACCAGUGUCUAAGAGGUAACAGACGCUUUACCAUCGUACGCAUUACCCAAGUCUUUUAAUUAACCAUUUAAUGCUAAAUUAUUUUUAACUUCUUUUUGUUGGCUUGGAAAAUAAAUAAUUGUUCUUUUGCCUUUUGUUUUACGCGGGCUCUUCAGAGGGAAAACAUCUUUCGCUCCAACGGUCUAUCGAUUUAUCAAUUAGUCGUAAAACAAUUUCAGUAGCCUGACAAUUACGCCAGACAUCGUUCCUUUGAUGUCUCGUCUCUUUGUUGGCUAGAAAAAUUUUUAUAAUUUUCCGUUAGUGUUAUUACUGGACAGACUUGUGUCCAUUAUUGCCAAUAAUGCCUUAGAUUUUCUGUUAAAGUAACAGGAGUUUUUUAAAUUUACGACCUUGUAAACUGGAACAAUAAAAAAGUGAAUAAAGAAAAUGAUCUGGGAGUCCUUUGAAAUGCUCGAACCCUCAUUCCGUCUUUUAUAACC